rnacentral:rRNA from 1 species
AUUGAACGCUGGCGGCAGGCCUAACACAUGCAAGUCGGACGGUAGCACAGGGGAGCUUGCUCCUCGGGUGACGAGUGGCGGACGGGUGAGUAAUGUCUGGGGAUCUGCCCGAUAGAGGGGGAUAACCACUGGAAACGGUGGCUAAUACCGCAUAAUGUCGCAAGACCAAAGAGGGGGACCUUCGGGCCUCUCACUAUCGGAUGAACCCAGAUGGGAUUAGCUAGUAGGCGGGGUAACGGACCACCUAGGCGACGAUCCCUAGCUGGGCAGAGAGGAUGACCAGUCACAAUGGAACUGAGACACGGUCCAGACUCCUACGGGAGGCAGCAGUGGGGAAUAUUGCACACUGGGCGAAAGCCUGAUGCAGCCAUGCCGCGUGUAUGAAAAAGGCCUUCGGGUUGUAAAGUACUUUCAGCGGGGAGGAAGGCGAUGUGGUUAAUAACCGCGUCGAUUGACGUUACCCGCAGAAGAAGCACCGGCUAACUCCGUGCCAGCCGCCGCGGUAA